UUAUUGCAUAUGAUGACUGUUAAAUGCAUAGUUCACCUGAAACUAUCAUGUAGAAACAAUUAUUCUUUCGCCCCUAUCUGAUGCUUUCA
rnacentral:snoRNA from 1 species